rnacentral:piRNA from 1 species
ACUCAUGAGCUAGGGGCACU